UUUAAAAUCUUAAAAAAAAUCUUUCUUUCUUUCUUUCUUUCUUUCUUUCUUUCUUUCUUUCUUUCUUUCUUUCUCUUAAUCAGUAGUAAGAAGAUAAACUACUGAAGUUGUUUUUUAAAAUCCAUCCCUGGGCCCCCCUACUUUGGCGUCCGAGCUCUCCUGUCCCAGAGGCCCUUACCCAGGCCCGGAGGACCCACGGGUGUAUGGAGGGGCUCCAAGGGGACAGGAGUGCGUGACGCCCUCAAAGUUACACCCGUGAUCUUCUUGGCCCGUGUCUGUCUCCAGGGGGGACCACGGGCCGCAUGAUGAGGGGCUCGGAGCUGCCCCCAGCCCCCAGCCCGUGACGAGGCCCGAGGCUGGGUGGCCUGUUGAGGGUGAGCGCAGCAGUCACAGAGAGAGAGAGAGGCAGAGACACAGGCAGAGGGAGAAGCAGGCUCCAUGCACCGGGAGCCCGACGUGAGAUUCGAUCCCGGGUCUCCAGGAUCGCGCCCUGGGCCAAAGGCAGGCGCUAAACCGCUGCACCACCCAGGGAUCCCUGGAAGCUGUUUAAAGGCAGCUCUGAGCCCUGGAAUGUCUUGGACCGAAGAGCCAGGAGCUAAGUAUCCUGGUCCAACGGGCGGGGGCUUGGGAAGGCCGACUGUCCCCGGGAGGGUGCGGCCUCGAGGCAGGUGCAGCGGCGGGUGGGGCGGGAGCCCCGGGGGCCCAGGGCGUGGACGCGAGCGCUGCAGCACAUCGAGCAGACUUCCCAGCCUCCCGGACGGUCGAGGGUGACUCCUAACCCUUCAGGCUCUGCACCCCCAAAAGGAGACCGGAAGUCUCAGCCGCCCCGCUGCACAGCCGGGGGGACAAAGGAGCGCCCUAAGGUGCCAGCGGGCGGGCGGCACGGAAGCUAUGGGGCCAAGCGCCGCCCUGCCCGUCCCCCUCCCACUGCGGCGAGGGGAGAGGAGGCUUGUGCCCUGGGGGGAACCCCGGCAGCACCGAGAUGCACCUGCGGGCGGCUCUCCCCCAGCCAGGUGGUGAACAGCACAGAUGGUCUCUCUGAAGGAACUCACAUUCUGGUGGAACGAAGAGGAGGAGGAGGAGGAGGAGGAUUGUCAUUAACACGACUCACCUAUACGGAGCGCUCGCUGCGAGCCGGGGGCUGCCCUACGCGCUAGCAGCUUUCCCUUGGCAGCCCCUGUGACUCUCAUCAACUACCUUAGGAAUUUAAUUAUAUUAUUUCUAGGGCUGCCCGGGGGGCUCAGUGGUUGAGCAUCUGCCUUCGGCGCAGGGCGUGACCCCGGGGUCCUGGGAUCGAGUCCCGCGUCAGGCUCCCUGCAGGGAGCCUGCU